AUACCUUUCUCGGCCUUUUGGCUAAGAUCAAGUGUAGUAUCUGUUCUUAUCAGUUUAAUAUCUGAUACGUGGGCCAUUGGUCCACAUGAUAUUAAAUUAAUUUCUUGAGGGGGAAAGACCGUCACGGUAGCUUGCUACUGGGUCUCUCUGGCGUCGCUCGGGGCGUUGCACUACAGCCCUUGCCUGGCGCACCCCAC